rnacentral:misc_RNA from 1 species
CAACCCUCGACCUCCCUUUGGGGAAGUCGGCCUUGGGGACCGGCAGCACACCGCCGGCCCUGAAAUGGAGUGGCGGCCCGUCCGCGGCGACCUCUGCGUAGUAAACCAACUCGCACCGGAACCCCGACGUGGCCACGCCGUAAAACACCCAACUUCUGAACGUUGACCUCGAAUCAGGUAGGACUACCCGCUGAACUUAA